CAGGGGGAUAAUCGUCGGAAACGGCGUCUAAUACCCCGUAUGAAGCUGGACGGCAUCGUCUGGUUUUGAAAGAAUAUCGGAGACGGAUGGGCAUGCGGCGCAUUAGCUAGUUGGCGGGGUAACGGCCCACCAAGGCGACGAUGCGUAGGGGUUCUGAGAGGAAGGUCCCCUACACUGGUACUGAGACACGGACCAGACUCCUACGGGAGGCAGCAGUGAGGAAUAUUGGUCAAUGGGCGAGAGCCUGAACCAGCCAAGUCGCGUGAGGGAGUACUGCCCUAUGGGUUGUAAACCUCUUUUGUCGGGGAGCAAAAGCCGGACGUGUCCGUCUGUGAGAGUACCCGAAGAAAAAGCAUCGGCUAACUCCGUGCCAGCAGCCGCGGUAAUACGGAGGAUGCGAGCGUUAUCCGGAUUUAUUGGGUUUAAAGGGUGCGCAGGCGGAUUUUUAAGUCAGCGGUCAAAUCGUGGGGCUCAACCCCAUCCAGCCGUUGAAACUGGGGAUCUAGAGUGUGCGAGAGGUAUGCGGAAUGCGUGGUGUAGCGGUGAAAUGCAUAGAUAUCACGCAGAACCCCGAUUGCGAAGGCAGCAUACCGGUGCACAACUGACGCUCAGGCACGAAAGCGUGGGUAUCGAACAGGAUUAGAUACCCUGGUAGUCCACGCAGUAAACGAUGAAUGCUACCUGUUUGGCCAGAUUGAAGGCUGAGCGGGACAG
rnacentral:rRNA from 1 species